rnacentral:rRNA from 1 species
CAGCCGCCGCGGUAAUACAGAGGGUGCGAGCGUUAAUCGGAUUUACUGGGCGUAAAGCGUGCGUAGGCGGCUUCUUAAGUCGGAUGUGAAAUCCCUAAGCUUAACUUAGGAAUUGCAUUCGAUACUGGGAAGCUAGAGUAUGGGAGAGGAUGGUAGAAUUCCAGGUGUAGCGGUGAAAUGCGUAGAGAUCUGGAGGAAUACCGAUGGCGAAGGCAGCCAUCUGGCCUAAUACUGACGCUGAGGUACGAAAGCAUGGGGAGCAAACAGGAUUAGAUACCCCCGUAGUCCCUGUCUCUUAUAC